UCGGCGCCAGUGCGCAGGCGCAAAAAAGCCCCCUCUGGUUAUAUAAGAGAGAUCCCGGACUGACACGUUCUUUUGCAUCCACCUCGCCUUCUAUUCGGCAGCUUUGGUUCCGUGCGUCAUCCUCAUCCGAUGUCAUCCCGCCUCGGGAACUCGGGGUUAUUACUGUGUGUGGUUAGCGUGACCCAAAGGUACAGAAUGGAUCUUGAAGGAAAGGCUCGUUGCGCGGCCUCCAAAGGAACCCCGUGUAGACAUCGAGAACCUUUGGCCUCCUGACCUCUGGGGUUUACUGUUGGCAGAAAGCAGACUUUGAGUGGAUCAAGAUAAAUCCAGGCAUGGGGAAAUGAAGUGCCCCUGCUCACAUGGCUGAAUAGACAUAGAAUCCGGAGAAUGGAGGAGAUCGACCCUGUUGAUCUAACUAAACUAUUUGCCAGUUUUUGUCUGAUGCAUUGGCCCGAGAACUUUUAGCCCAGUUUUCCAGACUACUUUCUAUAUGUCAGGAACCCUGUGUGCCAUUGGUCAGAAAGAUUGAUUAUAGUCGGAUCUUCUCCUUGGCUUGGUUCAGUCUGUCCAGUAGCAGUUUCUGGCCCAUGGAGUUUGAAAUACAAGUCCUCUUGGGGAAGACUGACCCUGUAUUUUCCUGAUAAAACAUAAUAAAUUUUGUAGGCUUCCUAUCUGGAGAAGGAAAAUAAAAAGUUUUUUAAAUCAAAA